rnacentral:rRNA from 1 species
CCUACGGGAGGCAGCAGUGGGGAAUCUUGCGCAAUGGGCGAAAGCCUGACGCAGCCAUGCCGCGUGAAUGAUGAAGGUCUUAGGAUUGUAAAAUUCUUUCAGUAGGGACGAUAAUGACGGUACCUACAGAAGAAGCCCCGGCUAACUUCGUGCCAGCAGCCGCGGUAAUACGAAGGGGGCUAGCGUUGCUCGGAAUUACUGGGCGUAAAGGGAGCGUAGGCGGGUUAUCAAGUUGGAGGUGAAAGCCCAGGGCUCAACCUUGGAAUAGCCUUCAAAACUGAUAACCUAGAGGAUGGAAGAGGUAAGUGGAACUCCGAGUGUAGAGGUGAAAUUCGUAGAUAUUCGGAAGAACACCAGUGGCGAAGGCGACUUACUGGUCCAUUACUGACGCUGAGGCUCGAAAGCGUGGGGAGCAAACAGGAUUAGAUACCCUGGUAGUCCACGCUGUAAACGAUGAUUGCUAGUUGUCGGCAGNAUGCUGUCGGUGACGCAGCUACGCAUAAGACAUCCGCCGUCGGGAGGUACGGUCGCGAGAAGUUAAACGUAACGAAAGUAAGUUAGUACGGUUCGUUGUAGACGUUGCCGACGGACGACGACGAGGGAGGAGG